rnacentral:rRNA from 1 species
GGAGACGCUGUCUCUGCUUACACAUGCAAGUCGAACGGAAAGGCCCUUCGGGGUACUCGAGUGGCGAACGGGUGAGUAACACGUGGGUGAUCUGCCCUGCACUCUGGGAUAAGCCUGGGAAACUGGGUCUAAUACCGGAUAGGACCACACACUUCAUGGUGAGUGGUGCAAAGCUUUUGCGGUGUGGGAUGAGCCCGCGGCCUAUCAGCUUGUUGGUGGGGUAAUGGCCCACCAAGGCGACGACGGGUAGCCGGCCUGAGAGGGUGACCGGCCACACUGGGACUGAGAUACGGCCCAGACUCCUACGGGAGGCAGCAGUGGGGAAUAUUGCACAAUGGGCGCAAGCCUGAUGCAGCGACGCCGCGUGAGGGAUGACGGCCUUCGGGUUGUAAACCUCUUUCAGUAGGGACGAAGCGAAAGUGACGGUACCUACAGAAGAAGGACCGGCCAACUACGUGCCAGCAGCCGCGGUAAUACGUAGGGUCCGAGCGUUGUCCGGAAUUACUGGGCGUAAAGAGCUCGUAGGUGGUUUGUCGCGUUGUUCGUGAAAACUCACAGCUUAACUGUGGGCGUGCGGGCGAUAC